CAAAGGUAAACCAUGUCCGCUUAGAUUGAUCAAAGGCUGCAGCGAUCGAUCUACCCAUGAACAUCGUCCAUGAUCGGCUAAUUAACUGCAGGUGGAUGUGAUGCGUAACACCCAUAGUAUGCAGUAUACGCCGGCAACUCCCAGGCGUUCAAACGCACGCGCAGACGUCCUGCAAAAUGAAGGCACGGCAACACCGUUAACCUUGGGCAAUGUUUUGCUACAACGAAGCGCCGACAAGACAAAGCGUCGCGAUCUCGGGUCCUAGACUUGGUGAAGGCAUCGGACACCUUGGAGCACUCGACCAGGCGAUGGUUAUGGCCUAUAGGCCACAAAGGAAUCAGAAAAUAAUAGUUGUACGGGCAGCGGACGACACAAAGACUUCAGCUCUUGGCUCUAUUCGCAGGUGGUGGUGCUCCCUUGCAGGAAAUGAGGCUCAGGACGAUGCUCUUUUUCAUAUGACAUGAGGACGAUGCUCUACACCAUUAUUUUAGGAAUUGGCGGAGUGAUCAGGAGGUACCUCUUUAUUUAUAGUCAUCAUAAGGAUAUUGUUGCACUUAGGUCCAUGGCGGCGGCAUAGGAAGUUUAGUUCCGCUAUACACGUCAGGAUUAUGCAACGAUCUUCCACAGAGUUGGCUAGAAUUGGCUCAAAAUAAAUUUCAUUGAUCGGAAGUAUGCAACAAGCAUGGUCUUAUUUUCGUCAUAUGGCCCAUAUUCUGAUUCGAUUCUAAAACUGCACUGCAGGAGAAUUGAUCGUCUUCCAAGAUUUCAAUUUGUUGGAAAAAUAGUUAUUUGAAGAACUGUAGUUCUCUAGAAAAUGAAAACCAGAAACAUCGAUGCUCUUUACUGAAAUUGUAAAAAUAAUAUGAUAGGUUCAAUCAUGUAUCUUACGCCUUCAAGUGUUUCUAUGUGUUAGCAA